GAUGAACGCUGGCGGCGUGCUUAAUACAUGCAAGUCGAGCGAAAAGACGCGGAGCUUGCUCCUUUGACGUUUGCGGCGGACGGGUGAAAAACACGUGGAUCCCCUCCCUAUCAGACUGGGAUCAUUUCGGGACUCCGGCGAUAAUACCGGAUAAUCUAUUGAACCGCGUGGUUCAUUAGUGAAUGACGGUUUUGCUGUCUCUUCUAGCUGGUUACGAGCCGCAUUAGCUAGUUGGUAAGGUCACGGCUUACCACGGGGACGAUGCGUAGCCGAACUGUGGGGGGGAUCGGCGGCACGGGAACGUGAACACGGUCCAGACGCCUACGGGAGGCAGCAGUAUGGAAUCGUCCGCAGUGGUCGAAAGCUUGACGCAGCGACGCCGCGUGAGUUAUAAAGGUCUUCGGAGCGUAAUACUCGCUUAUUAGGUAAGAACAAAUGUGGAAGUAACUGAGCACGGCUUGACGGUACCUAGUCAGAAAGCCACGGCUAACUACGUG
rnacentral:rRNA from 1 species